rfam:Ectocarpus siliculosus strain Ec 32, whole genome shotgun sequence assembly, chromosome LG05
ACCCAGGAGUUUCUCAACUCCACCAACUGUUCGAAAGAAUCAAUCG